rnacentral:rRNA from 1 species
GCACAAGCGGUGGAUGAUGUGGUUAAUUCGAUGCAACGCGAAAACCUUACCACCUUUGACAUGGCAGGAAUCCCGAAGAGAUUUGGGAGUGCUCGAAAGAGAACCUGCACACAGGUGCUGCAUGGCUGUCGUCAGCUCGUGUCGUGAGAUGUUGGGUUAAGUCCCGCAACGAGCGCAACCCUUGCCAUUAGUUGCUACGAAAGGGCACUCUAAUGGGACUGCCGGUGACAAACCGGAGGAAGGUGGGGAUGACGUCAAAUCAUCAUGCCCCUUAUGUCUUGGGCUUCACGCAUGCUACAAUGGCCGGUACAAAGGGCUGCGAUACCGCGAGGUGGAGCGAAUCCCAGAAAGCCGGUCUCAGUUCGGAUUGGGGUCUGCAACUCGACCCCAUGAAGUCGGAGUCGCUAGUAAUCGCAGAUCAGCAACGCUGCGGUGAAUACGUUCCCGGGCCUU